GCUACUAGGGAUUAGACCCUCUGAAAGGAGGAUUUAAUACCUGAUUGGUAUUCUAUUAGUUCGCAUGGAGUGAUGAUUAAGAUUAAUUGGUCAUGGAUGGGGGGUGCGUUCCAUUAGAUAGUUGGCGGGGUAACGGCCCACCAAGUCUACGAUGGAUAGGGGUUCUGAGAGGAAGGUCCCCCACAUUGGAACUGAGACACGGUCCAAACUCCUACGGGAGGCAGCAGUGAGGAAUAUUGGUCAAUGGACGAGAGUCUGAACCAGCCAAGUAGCGUGAAGGAUGACUGCCCUAUGGGUUGUAAACUUCUUUUAUAAAGGAAUAAAGUUCACUACGUGUAGUGUUUUGUAUGUACUUUAUGAAUAAGCAUCGGCUAACUCCGUGCC
rnacentral:rRNA from 1 species